rnacentral:misc_RNA from 1 species
AACGCAUAUUGCGCUCUUUGGUAUUCCGAAGAGCAUGCUUGUUUGAGUAUCAGUAAACACCUCAAAGACUUCAAUUUGUUUUGAAUGGCUUUGGACUUGAGCAAUCCCAACACCAGUCUUUACGAUCGGUGGAGGGUUGCUUGAAAUGCAGGUGCAGCUGGACUUUCUCCUGAGCUAAAAGCAUAUUCAUUUAGUCCCGUCAAACGGAUUAUUACUUUUGCUGCAGCUAACAUAAAGGGAGAUUGACCAUUUUGGCUGACUGAUGCAGGAUUUUCACAAGAGUCUUCAAACCACUCUUGUUAAACUCGAUCUCAAAUCAAGUAAGACUACCCGCUGAACUUAA